AACAGCUCAAAUUUGAAAUCUGGCCUCGGCCCGAGUUGUAAUUUGCAGAGGAUGCUUUUGGUGCGGUGCCUUCCGAGUUCCCUGGAACGGGACGCCACAGAGGGUGAGAGCCCCGUAUGGUCGGACACCAAUCCUGUGUAAAGCUCCUUCGACGAGUCGAGUAGUUUGGGAAUGCUGCUCUAAAUGGGAGGUAAAUCUCUUCUAAAGCUAAAUACCGGCCAGAGACCGAUAGCGCACAAGUAGAGUGAUCGAAAGAUGAAAAGCACCUUGAAAAGGGGGUUAAACAGUACGUGAAAUUGUUGAAAGGGAAGCACUUGUGACCAGACUUGGGCCGGGCGGCUCAUCAGGGGUUCUCCCCUGUGCAUUCCGCCCGGUACAGGCCAGCAUCGGUUCUUACCGGGGGAUAAGAACGGCAGGAACGUGGCUCCCUCUCGGGGGAGUGUUAUAGCCUGCCGUACGAUACCCUGGCGGGGACCGAGGUUCGCGCUUCCGCAAGGAUGCUGGCGUAAUGGUUACUAGUGACCCGUCUUGAAACACGGACCAAGGAGUCGUCCAUUAGAGCGAGCGUUUGGGUGUAAAACCCGCACGCGUAAUGAAAGUGAAAUUAGGUGAGAGCUUCGGCGCAUCAUCGACCGAUCCUGAUGUUCUCGGAUGGAUUUGAGUAAGAGUUUUAACGGACGGACCCGAAAGACAGUGAACUAUGCUUGUAUAGGGUGAAGCCAGAGGAAACUCUGGUGGAGGCUCGCAGCGGUUCU
rnacentral:rRNA from 1 species